GAUGAAGAACGUAGCGAAAUGCGAUAAGUAAUGUGAAUUGCAGAGUUCAGUGAAUCAUCGAAUCUUUGAACGCACAUUGCGCCCGCCAGUAUUCUGGCGGGCAUGCCUGUCUGAGCGUCAUUUCAACCCUCAUGCCCCUAGGGCGUGGUGUUGGGGAUCGGCCAAAGCCCGCGAGGGACGGCCGGCCCCUAAAUCUAGUGGCGGACCCGUCGUGGCCUCCUCUGCGAAGUAGUGAUAUUCCGCAUCGGAGAGCGACGAGCCCCUGCCGUUAAACCCCCAACUUUCCAAGGUUGACCUCAGAUCAGGUAGGAAUACCCGCUGAACUUAAGCAUAUCAAUAAGCGGAGGA
rnacentral:misc_RNA from 1 species